CCAUCCUAGUAGGUGGCGGUAAAUGCACCUAAAGCUGGUUUGCCAACCGCCAUAAAACGUCAAAGCAGAAGAAAAAGGCGUCACUGCGCUACAGUCUGCAGAAAGGGAAGGAAAUGGCAAAGUCGGUCGGGUAAUUCACAUGGGAACAAGAAAGAGCCAGACUGGUGAAAAGAGCCUCUUUACCAAAGAGCUGGAGAAUGCCCUUGAGAGAAAUGAG